ACGUAGGGUCCAAGCGUUAAUCGGAAUUACUGGGCGUAAAGCGUGCGCAGGCGGUUGGGCAAGACCGAGGUGAAAUCCCCCGGCUUAACCGGGGAAUUGCAUUGGUGACUGCACAGCUAGAGUGUGCUAGAGGGGGGUAGAAUGUCACGUGUAGCAGUGAAAUGCGUAGAGAUGUGGAGGAAUACCGAUGGCGAAGGCAGCCCCCUGGGAUAACACUGACGCUCAUGCACGAAAGCGUGGGGAGCAAACAG
rnacentral:rRNA from 1 species